AGGGUUUAAAGAUGGAUGGAAUGUUGCUAAGAGACAGGACAGCAACACAAGGUGACUCCAUGCACACUGGAACCUGGGACGGGAGGCAGUUAGAGAGGGGGGUGCAUGCAGGAGAGGUUCCCCAAGCAAACUUAGCCCACUUCCCACAUCCAAGCAGAGCCAGUGAGAGCCUCUCUCAGGAUUCUCAGCCUGAGGAAAGCAGUUCUGUGUACUUAGAUGGAAGAGAAAGCUGUAUCGGACCAGUGGCUCAAAAAAUAGUUUUAAGAACCCGAGUCUUACCCAUUUUCUCAUUACUGUGUUCUUCCAAUGCCAUUUAAAAAAAAAAUUCAACCUCCUGUCUAAAAACUUUUCCAAUUUACUCUUUUGAGGAAACUUUAUAUCCUGUGGAUCUCUGAUACUGUCCUCAGAUGCGCUUCUCAGAAAAUCUGUCCUGGUUUGCGAGGACUUUGGAACAACGAGAAACAAUGAACUACCUGGAGAAAAAUACCCACAGGCUCAGCACACCUACCAGCUUUUUGCUCAGAUGCCAAAGAAGAAAGGGAAAGAACAGACGAGGCACGAUAAACACAAUGGCGUGUGGUCCUGCUGCGUUUGUCUGAGGCCGCUCAACACUGAAAGUCAGUUCAUCUCCUCCCAGGAAGGAGUGCUUGUAAAUUGUAUCAAAAUGAUUCUGGACUCUCAGGCAGGCUGGUUGGCCUGGACUCCUGGAAGCAGUUAGAGAAGCACUCAUUUGUAAUGUCAUGUUGGUUUCUUAUUAUUUAAUAUGUCAGCCAAGGGAGAAAAUGCCCAGAUAUUUGUGCUCACAGCAGUGCAUGAUCUCUUCUUGUGUGAAGGAUUGUAAGAGGGAGAUGAUUACCUUGAAGUGCUUGAUUAGAAGAAAGAGUGCAUAUUUGUUAUCUGUGGCUCAUAACUAUGUUUUUGGUUGACUUUCUGCUGAUGUUUUUAAGCAUUCUACUCCACAUUAUUCCAGCUGUGUAGCUUCAGAUUUUAAUGGAAGCAGCACAGUUCAAAACACAUUUGAAAUGUAUUAGUGAUUAGAGAGCAACUUUAAAUUCUGUUUACCUAUGCAUUUUGGAAAUGUCUGAAAAAAAUAUCAUUUAUUGUCUGCAA